AGCUCUCGGUAAGGGAAGUGUGGAGGACUGGCUGAAUUGGGAAGUGCUCGGGACGUGACUGAUUCUCCUGUCUCAGCUCUACCAGUUAUUAGCUGUGUGUUCACACCAACUGGAGUAAAUAAAGCCCAUCAUGAAUUGCUCAGCUCUUCCCCGGUGUAGUUGAUUCUCCUUGAAGAUGAGUUAUUAUUUCUCUACAAAGAACUUCACAACUUUGGGAUCUUUAUAAAUCUGAAGGCCAACAGAAGAUAUUCGGGAGUCAUCCACUUGGGGAAGCCUAACUAAUAGCCUUGCAGAACAAAAAGCUGUGGUUCUCUGUGAACACUGAAGAGCAUUGCUUUUCACACAAGAUGAAGAAUACAGGUGCUUCCUGAGAGAAGUGAACAACUUUUGUGAAGCUGUGUUUUGCAGAAGGACUUGACAUCAAAAAGAACAUCUAGAGAACAGCAACCCAGAGGGAUGUAUGCAAGUGUUACACCAGCAUUCCUUAGAAGAGAAGAGUAAAACAAAGAGGGAUUCUGGGCUGGUGGCCACAGAGUAAUUCUGGAAAACUUGUGGAGGUCCAUGCUGAGCUUUCAGAUGGACAACUCUGGAAACUGAUACCAUCCCAUGGGUGUCAUGAAAGAACAAGUUCCAGGCUUUGUUGCUGAGGCUUAGAAACAGGGCUAACUGAGACAAACUGUGCCGGGAACUUUGGCCAUAUACUACUUGUCCACUAAACUCCGAACAAAGAACGCACAUUUACUUCACUGUUCAUGUCUAUUGAAGGUAACUCUGAAACUGCCCUUGCCAGGAACUGUGACUCACAGAUAAAAGAUCCUGUGGGUAGUGAGCUCCGCCCAGAGCCAUCCCACACAAAGACAGCAUAUGCUUUUGUAACACCCACAUACUUAUAUUUUAUGCUACAGAUGGCACUUUAAGGUUCACUUAUAAAGCAUCAUUGUCAAGCUCAGAGGUCAAAUGCACUGAAUAAAGUAUCAAUUUAAUGGGAACUAGGGUUUGAAAUACUUUCCUACUUUAGUAAAUUCUCUGAGCCCUGUAAGAGCCUAUAACAGGUCCAACGGAAUGACCUCUUUAAACCACCAAAAACUCAUUUACACACUCCUUGUAACAGAUCCUUUAGUUCUACUUCUUUGAGCAAUUGCUUUCUUUGUACUAAGCUUCAGAGCAUAUACUCUAUCAAAGCAAUUUAAAAGGUCUAACAUUUUUGAAGAAAACCAAAUGCAGAAAUCUCUCUGCUGACCUCCUGAAAAGACAGAAGGCUUAUCAAUGAGAUGUGAAUGUUCUGCUUCCUUUAGGAGAUUAAGGAACAGAGCUGUUUAUCCUGAUUUUAUCCAGGCACCCAGAUUCCAUCUACAGAUUUCUCGAUGACAGAGGAGAAUGGUUUCAUAAAAACAGCAAGAUGAUUGUCAAUCUUCACUUCACUUCUCCUCCCUACUCUCUCAUUACGUGUUUGAACUUGCCCUUCUUUUUCAUAUCGUUGGCAUUUCGUACUUCCUGGGUGAAGCGUAUAGGUUGAUGAGUGCUCAGCAAGUAAGGGCCUUCUUUUGCACAUACAGGCCCUCUUCUAUAAAAGUCUAUCCCAUAACUUGCUGCCCGAACCCUGUACCACAACCUAUGCUCAAUGUCCAAUAAGGCUAGUCUGAAGAUACUCCGAAACAGUUCAUGACCCUUUGCCAGGGUUAUAUUCUUUUCUCUCCAGUUGUUCUAGUUCAUUUUUAAUUUCAUUCAGCUCCUGAAUUUUUUCCUGCUUGCUCCUGUCUCCAGGACUUCAUUUUUAGUUUUGCUUUCCCUGUGUUUGUUGCUACAUGAUCAUUAUUUUUGUCUCAGCUUUAAAUUUCUGGGAAUAUUUUUUCAAAGUAACUCUGUGGAAAAACUUAUUCCUGCUUCAGCCCUUUGGGAUCAACGUCUUGGUCAUGGUUCCUUUGGCCAGUAAAUUAACUGUAUCUUCCCAGUGUGUUGAGGAGAGAGAUUUAGCAAUCAUUUUGUGUAGAAGCAUGUUCCCCUGUGUUCUGCAUAUAUUCUGGGUGCCCACCCUCCCAAUCUUUUCACACCUUCUCUUAUCAGACAACUUUAAAGGCUGCAUUGACACAGACAUCAUGAGAGUGUUACUGGAUCCCAGCCUUUAUCUCUGGGCUAGGGAAUCAGAGCAAAGGUUGCUUCUUACCUUGAUACCUAAUGCAUUAGUGUAGAGGAUGUUGUUGGCCACUGAUAGCUCAGCAUUGAUUUCCUCUCUGGAAGUUUCCCUCUGACUGAAGGAAGUUGCCUUACCCAGAUUAUGCUUCUGCCACAGGGGCAUCCAGAAUCCUAUGACUGGUUGAUUCAGGGAUACAUGACCCAGCGUCCUUGCCCAGAAUUGGAACAAUAUUAAAGGUCCAUCCCAGCUUCAAGUCAUCCCUGAGUCUCUACUGUUACUGCAUUACAUUCCAGCUUCUCCCUCAACCCAAUCCUGUUUCCUUUGCUCCCUCAUAGGUAUUUUUCCCUCUGAUGAACAGUCUCUGAUAAAACCUGCACAUAAAUCUCUUUACUGGAGUUCGUUCCUAAGACAGUGGUGAUCUUUUCUUGCAAUUAAAUGUUAAUUUGGGCUCCAAGGCCAUGUUUCUCAACACAACCAUUUCAACAGGUCAUGGCAUCUUCUGUAAAUUCAUGGUAGUGUCAUAACAAUGGAUUCAGUAUCGUGGUGAACAUGAAUGACAUAUGUUGAUAAGCAGACAUGACUGGAAAACAGCUGCGUUUACAUGCUUUAAAUAAUAUUGAGACUAAAACAGAAUGUAUAAAUAGCUGCAUAGUGCCGUGAAUGUUGAAGUUACGCAAUACAAAUCAUUGCAUUGAGAAUGGGUCUCAAUAGACAACCUAUUAAAACAUAAGGAUCCUCAGUUUUCCAUAAAAACUCAUGAAGAAGAAACUUCUUAACAAUUUGAUAGGUUAAGUGCAAGAAGCAAGGCACAAGUCAGCCCUCUUACCACAAAGUAUAGUGAGUAAUUUUUUUUUUUUUUUACAGUAUAGAACCUGCUUAAAAACUAUGAGGAAGUUGAGUUGGUAUAUAGAUAAAUUAUCUCUAAUUUAUUUUUAAACUUUACACCGUAUUUGGAGAAUAUGUGUGUGCAUUUGGGGUAAGGGUAGGGACUCAGGUAUAGAAAAAUUUCAAGAUAAUAGUUUAGUGCUCUCUUAGUUUUAUAAAUUUUAAAAUAGAAUGUAAAUAUUGCAUAACCCUACCCCAUACACAAAGUUAAAGCUCCCUUCUAAUUACGCCUAUGGAUGGCUUGUCUCUUUAGGUUUCUCUAUCUGUAAAAUGGAGAUAACAAUAUUUACCUUCCUCAUUAGGAAAUGAUGAAUUUCCUAAUGUGCAUAAUAUGCUUUGAAGAUGAAAAGCUUCAUAUAAUUGUUAAGUGUUAUUAUUGUGCAUAAAUUUAUUAGGUAUCACAGGUGCACAAUUCUGAAGAAUACAUUAAAGGUAAAAUUCAUAAUGAAUAGUCUUUGAGGUUGUAAACCUGAAUUAAAUAUAAAGGGAAAAACAACCUUCUAAACAUUAAACACAGAUGGUAAUGAUUUUGUUCAGAUUUUCCUUGUAUAUAGAUUGGUUAUAUUUUACAAUUAGACAAAGAGCUAAAUAGGCAUCAGUUAAGUUUUAAAAAUCAUGUGAAGCUUGGCUUUCAAAGCUUUGUCCAUUCUUGGUAAAAUUCUCAAUUAUAAAAGUUUAAUAAAAGAAUGCUUCUUUUUAUUUAUUUUGUGACUUUGGGGAUUGAUUGCUACAGCCUUAGGGUUUCACUCCAACACAUCAACUAUAAAAUUUUGGCCAAAAGGCAUAUGGUCAUAAUAUUCUUGAUCCUUAAAUACUCUCCUCAUUGCCCAAAAAAGUAUAUUUUCAUUCAGUAUACUUCUUCUGCUUCAGGAAAAAUAAAUCCCAUUACUGUGGUAAAGGCCUUGUUGAAAUUCUCUUGGGUUCAUAAUCAAAGUAACUCUUGUGUGUUUCCUGACUUUGUGCUAUAGUAAUGUAUUUCAAGGACAGCUGAGAGAUGCAUUUUUGCUUAACUUGUGACAGGUGGCAUUUUAUUCCCAGGCAGCUAUCUGCUUGGAAUAUUGUCUACUUCUUGGCCAUGAGCACAAAUCCAGAGGGACCUGGGCUCAGUCUGAACAGCAGUGUCAGGCACAUUCCUGGCUUAUUCCACAAUGUCUGUGCUGGAGCUGGGGCUCGCCUCUCAUCCAUCCAGAGAGAGUCAAGUGGUCUUGAGUGAAGAAAGAUUUAUGUUUUUUUAGAAUGAAAUAAUGCCAUUUGCAGGAACAGGGAUGGACCUAGAGAUUAUCGUACUAAGUGAAGUAA